rnacentral:rRNA from 1 species
UGAGGAAUUUUGCGCAAUGGGGGAAACCCUGACGCAGCGACGUCUCGUGAACGAUGAAGUCCCUCGGGAUGUAAAGUUCUGUCAGCAGGGAAGAUGAUGACGGUACCUGCAGAGGAAGCACCGGCUAACUACGUGCCAGCAGCCGCGGUAAUACGUAGGGUGCGAGCGUUAUCCGGAAUUAUUGGGCGUAAAGGGUGCGUAGGCGGUUUUUUAAGUUAGGUGUGAAAGGGGCAGGCUCAACCUGCCCAUGCGCCCAAAACUGGAAGACUAGAGCAUGUCAGAGGGAAGUGGAACUAAUAGUGUAGCGGUGAAAUGCGUAGAUAUUAUUAGGAACACCAGUGGCGAAGGCGACUUCUUGGGGCACUGCUGACGCUAAUGCACGAAAGCGUGGGGAGCAAACAGG